rnacentral:tRNA from 1 species
GCGGGGGUACCCAAGCGGUUAACGGGGCAGGACUUAAAAUCCUGUGGCCUAGCGCCUACGGAGGUUCGAAUCCUCCUCCCCGCA